ensembl:lncRNA
CUCAGUGUGAGUGAAUGGGAUCCUGGCUCAGUGUGAGUGAAUGGGAUCCUGGCUCAGUGUGAGUGGAUGGACUCUUCAGCAAAUUACUGUUUUCAAAAUCCUUGUAACAAUAAUGAUUAUUGAUGAUAACAUUUGACAAUAUAUGCCAUUGAGCAGACACUUAUAUCCAAAGCAACUUACAGGACAGGGACUGCAUACAUUUUUAGCAUGUGAUCCCUGCAGGAAUUGAACCUACGACUUUGGUGUUACCACCGCCACACUUGUGCCAACUGAGCUACACAGGAGAAUGACAAUGAAGGCCUACAUGUAUACAAGACAGAGACCUCUCAGCCUAGCAUGUUCUGAAGCAGUGUACCUGUAGAGUGCACGGUGUUCCACAAAUAUUACAAUGAGAGAUCCACUCCGUAGUCUAUACAUCUGCAUAUUUAAGUGGUAAUCUGGUCCCAAUUGAAGAAAACUGCAUUCAAGUAAACAGAAAGCAAAGAUGAGCAGCUGGCGCCAUCUGCUGAUUUGGUAGAUGUAAAACCUUCUCAAUAUUUGACUCUUUGUAGGUGUAAAACCUUCUCAAUAUUUGACUCUCUUGGUAGGUGUAAAAAUGUGUAAUGUUUACUCCCUCAGCUUUGGGACAAAUGGCGAAGGUGCGCGUGAACGCUCAAAUGGAGGGCCAAGGGAAAGGGGAUGAUUUAGGAUUCUGUCACACACACAAACAAGUGUCAUGAAAUGCAUGCACCAGGAACAGGGUACACUGACUUAUCAGAUAAAUAUCAGCAAGCUAGGCUAGCUAUGUGCAGCAAGCAAGGCUAGCUGUGAGCAUCAAGCCAGCCUAGUUAUGUGCAGCAAGCUAGGCUAGCUGUGAGCAUCAAGCCAGCCUAGUUAUGUGCAGCAAGCUAGGCUAGCUAUGUGCAGCAAGAUAGGCUAGCUAUGAGCAACAAACUAGACUAGCUAUGUGCAGCAAGCUAGGCUAGCUAUGUGCAGAAAAAUGGCUAGCUAGCUUCUUGACUGAACACAGAAAUUCAGCGCACUGUUCUCUGAUUGCAAAAAAAUGGAUCCGUCUAGUCACAAGACAUUAGCUAAAGAUUUGACAUGUUAUUUCUUGACAAUAUGAGAGGUUUUAAAACUAGAUUGUUCAGAUCAAACAAACUUUUUUUUCUAAAACUCCUGAAGACCGUGGAGUCUCAUCUUAUGUAUUACAGGCCCGGGGAGGCCCGGGGAGGCCCGGGGGCCGGGGGAGGCACGGGGAGGCCUGGGGAGGCCCGGGGGCCGGGGGAGGCACGGGGAGGCCCGGGGGCCGGGGGAGGCACGGGGAGGCCCGGGACCUCACAAUAUGAUAUUAUCAUGAAACUUAGGUGCCGAUACGAUACACACAGAGUAUACAAAACAUUAGGAACACCUUCCUAAUAUUGAGUUGUCCCCACUUUUCCCCUCAGAACAGCCUCAAUUCGUCAGGGCAUGGACCUCAACAAGGUGUCGAAAGCGUUCCACAGGGAUGCUGGCCCAUGUUGACUUUAAUAUUUCCCACAGUUGUGUCAAGUCGGCUGGAUGUCCUUUGGUUGGUGGACAAUUCUUGAUACACAUGGGAGCGUGAGAAACCCAGCAGCGUUGCAGUUCUUGACACAAAUCGGUGCUCCUGGCACCUAUUACCGUACUCUAUUUAAAGGCACUUAAAUAUUUUAUCUUGCCCGGUUCGAGCCCAGGCUCUGUCGCAGCCGGCCGAAACCGGGAGGCCCAUGGGGCGGCGCACAAUUGGCCUAGCGUCGUCCGGGUUAGGGAGGGUUUGGCCGGCAGGGAUAUCCUUGUCUCAUCGCGCACUAGCGACUCCUGUGGUGGGCCGGGCGCAGUGCAUGCUGACCAGGUCGCUAGGUGUACGGUGUUUCCUCUGACACAUUGGUGCGGCUGGCUUCCGGGUUGGAUGCGUGCUGUGUUAAGAAGCAGUGAGGCUUGGUUGGGCUGUGUUUCAGAGGA